rnacentral:rRNA from 1 species
AUUGAACGCUGGCGGCAGGCCUAACACAUGCAAGUCGAACGAGUGGCGGACGGGUGAGCAAUGUCUGGGAAACUGCCUGACGGAGGGGGAUAACUACUGGAAACGGUAGCUAAUACAGCAUACCAUCAUUUGUGCCCUGAUGGGAGUAGCUAGUUGGUGGGGUAACGGCGCACCAAGGCGUCGAUCCAUAGCUGGUCUGAGAGGAUGACCGGCCACACUGGAACUGAGACACGGUCCAGACUCCUACGGGAGGCAGCAGUAGGUAAUAUUGCACAAUGGGCGCAAGCCUGAUGCAGCCAUGCCGCGUGUAUGAAGAAGGCCUUCGGGUUGUAAAGUACUUUCAGCGGGGAGGCGUUACCCGCAGAAGAAGCACCGGCUAACUCCGUGCCAGCAGCCGCGGUAAUAC